rnacentral:lncRNA from 1 species
CACCUGUGUCCUGCUCAUUCUGGGCACUGAAUUGUGUGCCAGUGGUCACAUGGUAUCACCCAGUCCAGAGGCUUCCCUGUAAAUACUUGAAAUGGCUUCUUAACAGAGAACUUAAGAGAGGCGUCAGUGAUACUCCAAAUGAGACGUGAGACCCAGCUGAGGCCUGAGACAUGAAUGAGACAUGACGGGGAUUUAUCUAAUUUAGUUAGCACAUCAUCAGAGAUCUGCGGACGCCUCUCCUGCGGGCACCCUCGCCUGGCCCAGCGGCACCUCUCCCCUGCGGAGGCCUCUCCUGCGGGUACCCGUGCCUGGCCCAGCGGCACCGCUCCCCGCGGAGGCCUCCCCUGCGCGCACCCUCGCCUGAUCCAGCGGUACCUCUCCCUGCGGAGGCCUCUCCUGCGCGCACCCUCGCCUGAUCCAGCGGUACCUCUCCGUGCGGAGGCCUCUCCUUCGCGCACCCUCGCCUGAUCCAGCGGUACCUCUCCCUGCGGAGGCCUCCCCUGCGCGCACCCUCGCCUGAUCCAGCGGUACCUCUCCCUGCGGAGGCCUCUCCUGCGCGCACCCUCGCCUGAUCCAGCGGUACCUCUCCCUGCGGAGGCCUCUCCUGCCCGCACCCUCGCCUGAUCCAGCGGUACCUCUCCCUGCGGAGGCCUCUUCUGCGGGCAGCCGUGCCUGGCCCAGCGGCAUCUCCCUGGCGUCAGCAGCUUUCCUCUCCGUUCCCCUCCGCCCCGUGGUGUCGUCACUUCUCGGCUGCUCACGCUGCGACGUUGUUUUGUUGGGUCGGAUCUCUGCAUCGGUCUGGGCAUGGGUAACUACUCAGGAUUAAUGUCACAAGUUGAGUUUUUGUUGGUGACACUGACAAGCUUUGUUUCCCUCCCUGUGCUCCAUACGGGCUCUGGUCCUCUAACACAAUCUUCCUGAGUCCCGUGCUCUGCAGGGCCAGGUCACAUGAUUUCCUGAGCAAUGCGUAUGUCCUGUGAUGUCCUGUGUUGCUGGAAUGGAGUGGAUUCUUCUCUCUCAGUGAGGAAUAGCUUUCUGAUUGUGAUCUCAGUGGAAGUCACGUGCUGUCCCCACCACUGGGCAGACCUUGCUGGCCACGGCCUCCACGUGCAGUGACCGUUCUCUUGGCAGCGUCUCAGGCUGUCUGGACCAGCUGUCACAGUCUCGCUGUGGGUGAGUCACCUGAGGCACUGUAUGGCGGAUAGAAGGAUUCAUUGCCCUGGGAGGUUUUGCCUGGCAUUCUGCAGAAGCAUUGCUGUAUCUUACCAGACAGGAAUACAGUGUUUCCCCAGAUGUGAGAAUGAGAGAUGUGUGGU